rfam:Paxillus rubicundulus Ve08.2h10 scaffold_1400_c1, whole genome shotgun sequence.
GGACUGGUAGCUCGGUUGGAAGAGUGCCACUGUACUAUGCUGGAGGCCAUGGGUUCAAUCCCUGUCUAGUCCA